rnacentral:rRNA from 1 species
GAGUUUGAUCCUGGCUCAGAUUGAACGCUGGCGGCAGGCCUAACACAUGCAAGUCGAGCGGAUGACGGGAGCUUGCUCCUUGAUUCAGCGGCGGACGGGUGAGUAAUGCCUAGGAAUCUGCCUGGUAGUGGGGGACAACGUUUCGAAAGGAACGCUAAUACCGCAUACGUCCUACGGGAGAAAGCAGGGGACCUUCGGGCCUUGCGCUAUCAGAUGAGCCUAGGUCGGAUUAGCUAGUUGGUGGGGUAAUGGCUCACCAAGGCGACGAUCCGUAACUGGUCUGAGAGGAUGAUCAGUCACACUGGAACUGAGACACGGUCCAGACUCCUACGGGAGGCAGCAGUGGGGAAUAUUGGACAAUGGGCGAAAGCCUGAUCCAGCCAUGCCGCGUGUGUGAAGAAGGUCUUCGGAUUGUAAAGCACUUUAAGUUGGGAGGAAGGGCAGUAAGUUAAUACCUUGCUGUUUUGAUGUUACGACAGAAUAAGCACCGGCUAACUCUGUGCCAGCCGCCG